AAAGAAAGAAAGAAAGAUUCUUUCAUUAUUGGAUUAUCGAACGUAGACGAAGUCACCAUCAUCUACAUUGAUAUAGAAAGUGAAAAACACACACUGAACAAGAAAGAAAAUUAUAGAAAGAAAGCUGCUUAGUUUUUGAUAAUCCACUUAUUCAAAAGCCUUUUGAUAGUUCUUAAGAACAGCUUUUUCUUCCUCAGGUGUAAAAUCAUUCUCAAUGUUGAAGCGUUGGCGGAUCUGUUUUGGAGUUUCCUCUUUGAUCAUAUCCGCGACAGUUUGGCAUGUUAGGUCAGUAAGGCUUUUGAUGUUUAGGUGAUUCGCAGCCAUAAUGAGAUCAAAGAUCGUGGAU
rnacentral:lncRNA from 1 species